CCCUUAGAUGUCCUGGGCUGCACGCGCGCUACACUGAUGUGUCCAGUAAGCACCUAACCUCUUCCGAAAGGAACGGGUAACCUUUGCAAAGCACAUCGUGAUGGGGAUAGAUUAUUGCAAUUAUUAGUCUUGAACGAGGAAUUCCUAGUAAGCACAAGUCAUCAGCUUGUGUUGAUUACGUCCCUGCCCUUUGUACACACCGCCCGUCGCUCCUACCGAUUGAAUGUUCCGGUGAGCUCUUCGGACUGCGCGGUCUGCAGUUUCUGCGUUCCGUGCGGAAAGUUGCGCAAACCUUAACAUGUAGAGGAAGGAGAAGUCGUAACA
rnacentral:rRNA from 1 species